UACGUAGGGGGCGAGCGUUGUCCGGAUUUAUUGGGCGUAAAGAGCUCGUAGGCGGUUUGGCAAGUCGGGUGUGAAAACUCCGGGCUCAACUCGGAGACGCCACUCGAUACUGCUAUGACUCGAGUCCGGUAGGGGAGUGCGGAAUUCCUGGUGUAGCGGUGAAAUGCGCAGAUAUCAGGAGGAACACCGGUGGCGAAGGCGGCACUCUGGGCCGGAACUGACGCUGAGGAGCGAAAGUGUGGGGAGCGAACAGG
rnacentral:rRNA from 1 species